rnacentral:rRNA from 1 species
GAGAAUGUUAUCACGGGAGACACACGGCGGGUGCUAACGUCCGUCGUGAAGAGGGAAACAACCCAGACCGCCAGCUAAGGUCCCAAAGUCAUGGUUAAGUGGGAAACGAUGUGGGAAGGCCCAGACAGCCAGGAUGUUGGCUUAGAAGCAGCCAUCAUUUAAAGAAAGCGUAAUAGCUCACUGGUCGAGUCGGCCUGCGCGGAAGAUGUAACGGGGCUAAACCAUGCACCGAAGCUGCGGCAGCGACGCUUAUGCGUUGUUGGGUAGGGGAGCGUUCUGUAAGCCUGCGAAGGUGUGCUGUGAGGCAUGCUGGAGGUAUCAGAAGUGCGAAUGCUGACAUAAGUAACGAUAAAGCGGGUGAAAAGCCCGCUCGCCGGAAGACCAAGGGUUCCUGUCCAACGUUAAUCGGGGCAGGGUGAGUCGACCCCUAAGGCGAGGCCGAAAGGCGUAGUCGAUGGGAAACAGGUUAAUAUUCCUGUACUUGGUGUUACUGCGAAGGGGGGACGGAGAAGGCUAUGUUGGCCGGGCGACGGUUGUCCCGGUUUAAGCGUGUAGGCUGGUUUUCCAGGCAAAUCCGGAAAAUCAAGGCUGAGGCGUGAUGACGAGGCACUACGGUGCUGAAGCAACAAAUGCCCUGCUUCCAGGAAAAGCCUCUAAGCAUCAGGUAACAUCAAAUCGUACCCCAAACCGACACAGGUGGUCAGGUAGAGAAUACCAAGGCGCUUGAGAGAACUCGGGUGAAGGAACUAGGCAAAAUGGUGCCGUAACUUCGGGAGAAGGCACGCUGAUAUGUAGGUGAAGUCCCUUGCGGAUGGAGCUGAAAUCAGUCGAAGAUACCAGCUGGCUGCAACUGUUUAUUAAAAACACAGCACUGUGCAAACACGAAAGUGGACGUAUACGGUGUGACGCCUGCCCGGUGCCGGAAGGUUAAUUGAUGGGGUCAGCGCAAGCGAAGCUCUUGAUCGAAGCCCCGGUAAACGGCGGCCGUAACUAUAACGGUCCUAAGGUAGCGAAAUUCCUUGUCGGGUAAGUUCCGACCUGCACGAAUGGCGUAAUGAUGGCCAGGCUGUCUCCACCCGAGACUCAGUGAAAUUGAACUCGCUGUGAAGAUGCAGUGUACCCGCGGCAAGACGGAAAGACCCCGUGAACCUUUACUAUAGCUUGACACUGAACAUUGAGCCUUGAUGUGUAGGAUAGGUGGGAGGCUUUGAAGUGUGGACGCCAGUCUGCAUGGAGCCGGCCUUGAAAUACCACCCUUUAAUGUUUGAUGUUCUAACGUGGACCCGUGAUCCGGGUUGCGGACAGUGUCUGGUGGGUAGUUUGACUGGGGCGGUCUCCUCCUAAAGAGUAACGGAGGAGCACGAAGGUUGGCUAAUCCUGGUCGGACAUCAGGAGGUUAGUGCAAUGGCAUAAGCCAGCUUGACUGCGAGCGUGACGGCGCGAGCAGGUGCGAAAGCAGGUCAUAGUGAUCCGGUGGUUCUGAAUGGAAGGGCCAUCGCUCAACGGAUAAAAGGUACUCCGGGGAUAACAGGCUGAUACCGCCCAAGAGUUCAUAUCGACGGCGGUGUUUGGCACCUCGAUGUCGGCUCAUCACAUCCUGGGGCUGAAGUAGGUCCCAAGGGUAUGGCUGUUCGCCAUUUAAAGUGGUACGCGAGCUGGGUUUAGAACGUCGUGAGACAGUUCGGUCCCUAUCUGCCGUGGGCGCUGGAGAACUGAGGGGGGCUGCUCCUAGUACGAGAGGACCGGAGUGGACGCAUCACUGGUGUUCGGGUUGUCAUGCCAAUGGCACUGCCCGGUAGCUAAAUGCGGAAGAGAUAAGUGCUGAAAGCAUCUAAGCACGAAACUUGCCCCGAGAUGAGUUCUCCCUGACCCUUUAAGGGUCCUGAAGGAACGUUGAAGACGACGACGUUGAUAGGCCGGGUGUGUAAGCGCAGCGAUGCGUUGAGCUAACCGGUACUAAUGAACCGUGAGG